rnacentral:rRNA from 1 species
UUGGAGGGCAAGUCUGGUGCCAGCAGCCGCGGUAAUUCCAGCUCCAAUAGCGUAUAUUAAAGUUGUUGCAGUUAAAAAGCUCGUAGUUGAAUUUCGGGAUUUGUCAGUUGGUCGGGCUUCACUGUCCGUAUUGACUUGAUGGAUUCUUACCUUCUGAAUAACCAGCAUGCUAUUAAGUUAGUGCGUUGGGGAAGCAGAUCUAUUACCUUGAAAAAAUUAGAGUGCUUAAAGCGAGCUAGUGCUUGAAUAGAUUAGCAUGGAAUAAUAAAAUAGGACGGCAUGGUUCUAUUUUGUUGGUUUCUAGGAUCACCGUAAUGAUUAAUAGGGAUAGUUGGGGGCAUUAGUAUUCAAUUGUCAGAGGUGAAAUUCUUGGAUUUAUUGAAGACUAACUUCUGCGAAAGCAUUUGCCAAGGAUGUUUUCAUUAAUCAAGAACGAAAGUUAGGGGAUCGAAGACGAUCAGAUACCGUCGUAGUCUUAACCAUAAACUAUGCCGACUAGGAAUCGGACGAUGUUAAUUUUAUAAUGACUCGUUCGGCGCCUUACGGGAAAC